rnacentral:lncRNA from 1 species
UGCGGCAGUGGCAGCUGCAGCUGGAAGAGAAGGAGAGGAAAUAGAGCAGGGGAGGAAGAAGAGGUUGCGGCUGCGGUGGUGGCGGCUGCGUCUGCAGCAGCUGUGUUUGGGAAAGAAAAAAGUAGGAACGAGAGAAGGGAGGAAGGAAGUAGUGCAGUGGAAGGGGCUGCGGUUGUGACAGCAGCUGCGGUCGUGGCUACGACUGUGGUAGUGGCAGCGGCAAUGGCUACGAUAGCUGCGUUUGAAAAAGAAAACGAAGGAAUGAGAGUAAGAGAGAGCAGGUGACUAUGCCUCUAUGUUCUGCAUGAGCUGCAGUUGUGGAGGAAAAAGAGAAGACAUAUGUAGAACACGGAACAGGGAGAGGACACGGAGGAAAAGUAGAAGGAUUUGGGCUGACACCUUCUUUGGAUCUUCGGAUCAAAAUCUUUGAAAGGCAAGUGUUCCAAUCCUUCCUAUUGCAAGUGUUCCGAUCCUUCCUAUUGCAAGCUUUCUAAUCUUUCCUAUUGCAAGUGUCCUGACCUUUCCUUACUGCAAUUUUAUCUCUACAUUUGCUUUGAAUAUAAGGAACUUUGAAUUGUUCUAGCCUUGCAUUUGAUAUAUCUCCUGUUUAGACGUAACGAUUCGAAUCUGUGCAACUUCUGAGAUUCUGACCCUUCUACCUGGUUAUGGUUAUAACUUCAUAUAUUGACCUUUGAUUUGGACAAAAAUUAUUUGAUCAGAAUAUAGACUCAUAAACCUUUUUUUUUAUAGCUUAUUUUAAGAAUUCGAAGUAAGUUUGUCUGCCCAAACUUCUGUUUCAAAUGAGCCUACAGAUUCUGCUAAACAGGGAUCGUAAUUUCUGACCUUUUGAUACCGAGCUGCCUAUAAGUCAAUGUUGGAAACUCCGAUUUGUUCAAAACUUAUUUCAUUGGAAACUAGACUCGUAGAUCUUUCUUUGAUACCUGGAUUGAAAGAUUUAGACUCCAAAUGCCUGCCCGAUUUUCUGUUGAAACCGACCCUGUGAAUUCUGUAAAAUUGAGAUUUGUUCUUUGAUCUUGGGUUACUAAAUCUAUUGUAACUCUUUGUUGGAAACUUUGAUUCAUACGAGACUUAUUUUAUUUGAAAAUAGAUUGAAAUAUCUUUCCACAAUAGCUUUCUUGUGUAAAUUGGAGCACGAUUGAUAGUUUGAAUCAUUUGUUCAAUGUGCCUCUUGAAUUCUGCCAGAAAUCGAGCUUUGGUCGAUUUCGCAUAUUCUGGUUUCAUUCCUUUGGAAAUUGAUAUCCUUUAGCUUUCUUAUUCAAUUAAGCUUUAUAUUACUGUUUUGAAUUCUUGUAUGCUCUUGUCCAUCAAAUUAUUUGCAUUCUUGAAAACUAUUGUGUAAUGUUUAUGCUAUAUCGUAUUGACUCAUAUAGACACAUGUAUAUCCCAUUGUUCCGCAUUUGCUUUCGAUAUGUGCCUAUUCCAGUUUCAUUCCUUUGGACAUUGAAUUCAUCUAACCUUCUUAUUUGAAUUGAGUUAUAUGUGAUUGCUUGGAAUCCUUGAAUGCUCUUGCUUUUAUUUCCUUUCAAAUCUGAAUACAAUUGUGAAAGAUUAUUGCUUACUUCGCAUUGACUCGUAAAGGCACAUGUACGUUUUGUUGUUCCGCGUGUGCUUCCGAUAUGUGUUAUUUAUUGUUCAUACUAUCCUUUUGUACUCUGGUGUUUGUGGAAUAUUGUAAACCUUUGCCAGAAAUGGUGAAAGGAGUUAUGCAUAGAGCCUGUGAUGCUCUGCCGGCCCUUAUGACUUCACUCAGACGUGGGUGGAUGGAGCUCCUAGACGUGGGAGACUUAUGUUUGGUGGUCAUUCAGAAAUGGAUGUACCAUAUUAUGUUAUAAUCCCACUUCACCUUCUGUAUGUUUGAUAUGGUAUCCAGAGCUUUGGUUAUGUGUUUCUAUACAUGCUUUGGAUAAAAAUGAAAUGAAUGCAACGUCAAUUCGACGUUUGAGCUUCUGUUUCGUAUUCGUUCUUUGAAAUGCUCCGAAAUGAUCAAUACGCCAUUGAUAUGUUCCGAAAUAUUUCAGUUAUCAUUGAUAUGCUCCGGAACAUUUCAUACGCCUUUGAUAUGCUCCAAUUACUCUAUGCUCCAUCUGUUAUGAAUCAAAUAGGUUUUGAAUGACAUGACACAUAUGAUUUUGUAUCUAAGGAUAUGGUAUCUUGAAAAUUCUUGUAUUCUGCCUUGCAUUAUGAUAUCUUACUUGUUUGAACUCAUUAUAAUAUCUGCCUUGCAUUAUUUGUCACUUGCUGAGCUGUUUUUAGCUCACUCCGUUGUUAUAUAAAAUCUUUCAGGUCAGCUUGUCACUCUUUGAGAUGUUUGAAUUGGGCUGAGGCAGUGGAGAGCUAUUCAGAAUUAUG